rnacentral:rRNA from 1 species
GACGAACGCUGGCGGCGUGCUUAACACAUGCAAGUCGAACGGAAAGGCCCUGCUUUUGUGGGGUGCUCGAGUGGCGAACGGGUGAGUAACACGUGAGUAACCUGCCCUUGACUUUGGGAUAACUUCAGGAAACUGGGGCUAAUACCGGAUAGGAGCUCCUGCUGCAUGGUGGGGGUUGGAAAGUUUCGGCGGUUGGGGAUGGACUCGCGGCUUAUCAGCUUGUUGGUGGGGUAGUGGCUUACCAAGGCUUUGACGGGUAGCCGGCCUGAGAGGGUGACCGGCCACAUUGGGACUGCGAUACGGCCCAGAAUCCUACGGGAGGCAGCAGUGGGGAAUAUUGCACAGUGGGCGGACGCCUGAUGCAGCAACGCCGCGUGCGGGAUGACGGCCUUCGGGUUGUAAACCGCUUUCGCCUGUGACGAAGCGUGAGUGACGGUAAUGGGUAAAGAAGCACCGGCUAACUACGUG